rnacentral:rRNA from 1 species
UGGGGAAUCUUGGACAAUGGGGGCAACCCUGAUCCAGCCAUGCCGCGUGAGUGAUGAAGGCCUUAGGGUCGUAAAGCUCUUUCGCCUGUGAAGAUAAUGACGGUAGCAGGUAAAGAAACCCCGGCUAACUCCGUGCCAGCAGCCGCGGUAAUACGGAGGGGGCGAGCGUUAUUCGGAAUUAUUGGGCGUAAAGGGCGCGUAGGCGGACCAGAAAGUUGGGGGUGAAAUCCCGGGGCUCAACCCGGAACUGCCUCCAAAACUAUUGGUCUAGAGUUCGAGAGAGGUGAGUGGAAUUCCAAGUGUAGAGGUGAAAUUCGUAGAUAUUUGGAGGAACACCAGUGGCGAAGGCGGCUCACUGGCUCGAUACUGACGCUGAGGUGCGAAAGUGUGGGGAGCAAACAGGAUUAGAUACCCUGGUAGUCCACACCGUAAAACGAUGAAUGCCAGUCGUCGGGUAGCAUGCUAUUCGGUGACACACCUAACGGAUUAAGCAUUCCGCCUGGGGAGUACGGUCGCAAGAUUAAAAC